rnacentral:rRNA from 1 species
AUUGAACGCUGGCGGCAGGCCUAACACAUGCAAGUCGAGCGGUUGAGGGAAGCUUGCUUCCUGAUUUAGCGGCGGACGGGUGAGUAAUGCCUAGGAAUCUGCCUAUUAGUGGGGGAUAACGUUCCGAAAGGAACGCUAAUACCGCAUACGUCCUACGGGAGAAAGUGGGGGAUCUUCGGACCUCACGCUAAUAGAUGAGCCUAGGUCGGAUUAGCUAGUUGGUGAGGUAACGGCUCACCAAGGCGACGAUCCGUAGCUGGUCUUAGAGGAUGAUCAGCCACGCUGGAACUGAGACACGGUCCAGACUCCUACGGGAGGCAGCAGUGGGGAAUAUUGGGCAAUGGGCGAAAGCCGGAUGCAGCCAGGCCGCGUGUGUGAAGAAGGUCUUCGGAUUGUAAAUCACUUUAAGUUGGGAGGAAGGGCUGUAAGCUAAUAUCUUGCAGCUUUGACGUUACCAACAGAAUAAGCACCGGCUAACUCUGUGCCAGCCGCCGCCGUAACAC